GAAUUCCUAGUGAUUUCUGGUUGAUCCUGGCAGAGGUCACUGCUAUCGGGGUUCGAUUAAGCCAUGCGAGUCGGGAGGGUUCAGACCCUCGGCGGACUGCUCAGUAACACGUGGAUAAUCUGCCCUAUGGUGGAGGAUAACCCCGGGAAACUGGGGAUAAUACUCCAUAAGUCAGGAGUACUGGAAUGUCUCCUAACUGAAAGUUUCGGCGCCAUAGGAUGAAUCUGCGGCCGAUUAGGUAGUUGUUGGGGUAACGGCCCAACAAGCCCGUAAUCGGUACGGGUUGUGGGAGCAAGAGCCCGGAGAUGGAAUCUGAGACACGAUUCCAGGCCCUACGGGGCGCAGCAGGCGCGAAAACUUUACAAUGCAGGAAACUGUGAUAAGGGAACCCCGAGUGCCCGUACACGCGGGCUGUCCCGGUGUUUAAAACACAUCGGAAGAAAGGGCCGGGCAAGACCGGUGCCAGCCGCCGCGGUAAUACCGGCGGCUCGAGUGGUGACCACUUUUAUUGGGCUUAAAGCGUUCGUAGCUUGAUUUUUAAGUCUCUUGGGAAAUCUCACGGCUUAACUGUGAGGCGUCUAAGAGAUACUGGGAAUCUAGGGACCGGGAGAGGUAAGAGGUACUUCAGGGGUAGAAGUGAAAUUCUGUAUCCUUGAGGGACACCGAUGGCGAAGCAUCUUACAGAACGGCUCGACGUGAGGACGAAACUGGGGAGCGACGGGAUUGAUACCCGGUAGUCCACCGUAACUUGCCAUUAGUGUGCUGUACUACAUUACGGGGUGCAAGUAAACUGAACUGCCCUGGGAAACGUCCAGGUUAACUAAAGAUGGCGGGAACCACACGGUGACGCGUUAAUGACUAACCGCACUCCGAAGAACCAAUUCCGGUUAACUCUUCCUGAAGGGUAGCC
rnacentral:rRNA from 1 species